GUCUUUUGCUUUCUUUUUCUGCCCUCGGCCUCGCUCUUGCGCACGGGACCACAAUGCUCCGCGCCGCUUGUCAUUGGGAGGCGCCGAAGGUGGGGGGGGUCGGCUCGGAAGGAAAAGCAAUCACAGGAAUAUAUAAAACAUGAGCAGAAAGAGGCCUUUGGAGAAAUCUGGACCAGCAUUCUCAUUUUACGGAUGAGGGACCGCAGCCCAUGGAGGUUUCCAUAGAUGAUUGGAAAAACCCAAGAGUUGGUCCUCUGUUCCAGACCCCACACAGACACAAACCUACAAGCCAAGGGAGCCAGUAUUUGGCCAUUCUUCCAUCCAUCUGCAUGUCCCAGGGAUGCACAAACAGGGAACACUUCAGCCUUUCGGCUGCCUUCAAAGAAGCAAUGAGAGAGAGAGAGAGGGUUACUUUGAUGAGUGAGCAGAUACCAGGUACUGUUUUGGGGAAACUGCUUUUCUCUGAGUCUAUAUUGGUCUGCACAAAUAAACUAAAAUGCUUUUGAAGUUGUUUUAUGAUCUAUAUAGAAGAGAUAUUGACAAACUUCUCCUGCUUAGAAAAUAAAAGGGACACUUAGAAUUAACAAAGGGGGUUGGUAGAUUUACCAUUGAGGUUGAUGAACUUAAUAUAUCAUCU
rnacentral:antisense_RNA from 1 species